AUUGAACGCUGGCGGCAUGCCUUACACAUGCAAGUCGAACGGCAGCACGGGUGCUUGCACCUGGUGGCGAGUGGCGAACGGGUGAGUAAUACAUCGGAACGUACCUUAUCGUGGGGGAUAACGCAGCGAAAGCUGUGCUAAUACCGCAUACGCCCUGAGGGGGAAAGCGGGGGAUCGCAAGACCUCGCGCGAUUAGAGCGGCCGAUGCCUGAUUAGCUAGUUGGUGGGGUAAAAGCCCACCUAGGCGACGAUCAGUAGCUGGUCUGAGAGGACGAUCAGCCACACUGGGACUGAGACACGGCCCAGACUCCUACGGGAGGCAGCAGUGGGGAAUUUUGGACAAUGGGGGCAACCCUGAUCCAGCAAUGCCGCGUGAGUGAAGAAGGCCUUCGGGUUGUAAAGCUCUUUUGUCAGGGAAGAAACACCGGCUCUAACACAGUCCGGGAAUGACGGUACCUGAAGAAUAAGCACCGGCUAACUACGUGCCAGCCGCCGCCGUAAAAC
rnacentral:rRNA from 1 species